UACGUAGGUGGCAAGCGUUGUCCGGAUUUAUUGGGUUUAAAGGGUGCGUAGGCGGUCCUAUAAGUCAGUGCUGAAAUAUCCCGGCUUAACCGGGAGGGUGGCAUUGAUACUGUAGGACUUGAGUAAAGUUGAGGUUGGCGGAAUUGACGGUGUAGCGGUGAAAUGCUUAGAUAUCGUCAAGAACACCUAUUGCGAAGGCAGCUUACUAAGCUUUAACUGACGCUGAUGCACGAAAGUGUGGGGAUCAAACAGG
rnacentral:rRNA from 1 species